rnacentral:lncRNA from 1 species
AGAGGGUGGGAUUGGACCUGAGAGUGCAGCCCAUCAGACCAGGAAACAUCUGGAUCAGAAACAAUGCUAAGAUCCAGAUGUAGAACCUGUCCAGCACCAAGUCUGCCUGAGUGCCACCAUGCUUCUUGCCAUGAUGAGAAUGGACUAAGUAAGCCUCUGAACUAAUGUUCUUCCAUCUCUGCUUAACUUGACCACAUGAGUCAGACUCCUCCAGACCUGAGGACAGGCAUGGACAAGACUAAGGUCCCUGAGCUGCAAUGCUGAACCCCAUCUUGAGAAGAACUUUACCACAACAGUUCCCUCUGCGACGUGUUUCUGUAGACAGCAAGCUGUCUCCUGAAGUAACUCCUGCUAAUAUAGAACUUCUGUACUUUGGUUUUCAAUUUC